GACGAACGCUGGCGGCGUGCUUAACACAUGCAAGUCGAGCGGACAGGCCCGGCUUUUGUGGGGUGCUCGAGUGGCGAACGGGUGAGUAACACGUGAGUAACCUGCCCUUGUCUGUGGGAUAACUUCAGGAAACUUGGGCUCAUACCGGGUAGGAUCUCUUGCUGCAUGGUGGGGGUUGGUAAGUUUCGGCGGUUGGGGAUGGACUGGCGGCUUAUCAGCUUGUUGGUGGGGUUGUGGAUUACCAAGGCUUUGAGGGGUAGCCGGCCUGAGAGGGUGACCGGCCACACUGGGACUGCGGUACGGCCCAGACUGGUACGCGACGCAGCAGUGGGGAAUAUUGCCCAAGGGACGGAAGGCUGAUGCGGAAACGCCGCGUGGGGGAAGACGGGCUUCGGGUUGUAAACCAAUUUCGCCUGUGACGAAGCGUGAGUGACGGUAACGGGUAAAGAAGCCCCGGCUAACUACGUG
rnacentral:rRNA from 1 species